rnacentral:rRNA from 1 species
UACGUAGGGUGCGAGCGUUAUCCGGAUUCACUGGGUUUAAAGGGUGCGUAGGCGGAUAGGUAAGUCCGUGGUGAAAUCCUGCAGCUUAACUGCAGAACUGCCGUGGAUACUAUCUAUCUUGAAUGUCGUGGAGGUUAGCGGAAUAUGUCAUGUAGCGGUGAAAUGCUUAGAUAUGACAUAGAACACCCAUUGCGAAGGCAGCUAACUACGCGAUAAUUGACGCUGAUGCACGAAAGCGUGGGGAUCAAACAGG